CGGACGGUAGCUCAGUUGGUUAGAGCAUUACUCUGAUAAGGUAAGGGUCGCAGGUUCAAGUCCUACCCGUCCGA
rnacentral:tRNA from 1 species